UAUGUCGUUACGUGAUGACGAGGUAAUCUCAUAUAUUCUUGCAGGACUUGGACCCGACUACGACUCUCUCGUGACAACUAUCACUGCCAACACCAGCGACAUCACCCUCGAUGAAGUUUAUGCUCACCUCAUGAGCUACGAAC